UCUGGGAAUUGUAAUUUUGUGAGGUAUUUAACUUUCUCUGUCAGAGAGCUCUGAUGCCGCAGCAAACUAUAAUUCCCAGAAUUCUAUAGCAUUGAGUCAUCACAGUGGUACAGAUGCAGCCAUUGAUGGGUGGAUACUUUAGCCAACAGGAUCUAUCAAGAUAAUGCUGAAUGGGAAUGUGUGGCUUCCUAGAAUCACCAGUAAAGCAUGGUAUUUAUAUGAUUGUGAAUCAGGUGAAUGCUUGGCUAGUUUCUGUAACCAUCAUGUUUCCUAGUUUGGUGUGUCAGUCUGUUGUAUUAAAGCAGCUGGUUUUCUCUUUUGGGUGCUUUUCCAGGAAUUUCCUAUUAAGAUGAAGAAAGAAAUAGUAUCUUGAGAAUGCAUGUAGACUUUAAUUCGGUUUCUAAAUGUGAUCUGAAAAAUUUCACUCAAGUAAUGAAGCUGGUCUUUCAUGCUGCUAGAAUAAAUAUUUAAAAGAUAUGAUAAAUCAGUCAACUAAUCAAUUAUUCCUAUAUAAAAUAUGCAUAGUCCAAACUAAUAAAUAGCAGUAAGGGCAGAGGGCCAUAAGGCAUAAACGUAUAGCUGAAGGGAGGUAGAUGGACAAGGGUCUUGACAGUUUACCCCCUCCCCCCCCCACCAAAAAAAAAGCAGAAAUAAGAUUGAUUUCAAAUGUUGAUAGGUUUUUAAAAUAGCAGUAAGGGGCAAUCAAAAUUAAUGACAUGUAGUGUUCACAGUUGGGAAAUAGGUAUUAACAAGUUUCUGUUCUAUCUAAAUUCCAAAUGACAGUAUUGAUUUCAAUUAACUUAGCCAUGCAUUUUUCUGUAAAAAUUGGCAUAUAUACACAUUCAUAAAUUACAUUAUGUACAUAGUUCUGUCUUUGUAAAGGCCCACACCCAAUUUCAUUCCGUCUAUAUAAAAGGAAAACUGUUUCAACCCUCAAGUAGGGAACAUCUCUUAUAAUAAGGGACACCUGCUAGCCCUAUGAAGAACAAUUCUUAUUUCUGAUCCUCAAAUAAGGGACAUCCUUUAUAAUAAGGUACACCUGGCAAACGUAUCAAUGGCUAAUGUAAUGUUCUUGUACUGUUCCAGUUCCUUUCUACAAUCAGAGGCUAAUGUUUCUGCACAAAAUCCUCAUAGAGGAAAAAUAAAUAAGCUCUCUUCUCUUUCACUGUUUUUGAACCCAGAGUCCUUUCACGCUACCCUGUUGUAGCACUAUUAUUCCACUUUAGCUACAUUAGUUCCAUCCUGGGGAAUCUGGAUAAGGAGGGGCAUUUAGACUUUGCAGCCAGAGACUUCUGGUGCUUCAUCAAACUACUAACCCCUGGAUACUGUAGGAUGCAGCCAUGGGAGUUAACGUGGAACCCUAGUGCUAUAAUUGUGUAGUGUGAAAGGGCCCAGUGUCACUUUAAAAGAGGCAUCUGCAAGCUCAAGGAAACCCCAAACCUAUCACAAGUACAAAAAUAAAUAAAUACCACCACCACCACCCAAAAAACAAGACAACCAUCUACCCCAUUUACCCUCAGCCAGUGAAGGCUUGACACCCAUUGUGGCCUUCAGCAGUCAGAAAGCAGAGGAAGGAAAUCUUGGGCAGAGGGUGAAGAGAUUUGGCCUCCUCUAACCUCUUACAGAUUGAAGUAUUCUGGAGGAGAGCAUAGUUUUCUUGCCCCUUCAGGAACUACUUGGGUAUGGAUUAUUGCAGAUCACAUGUGUCUACUUUUAUACCCCUAAAUCUCUGUCUUUUCCCCCUGUGUCUCUAACAACAGACAUUCUAUGCUAAUAGACAAAAUUCAGUAGCUAUUUUAAAUGGGAGAAAAAUGUGCGUACAAUCUGAUGAAGAGUGGAUGCCUCUCAUGAGAGUGGAUGCCUCUUUGAGCUUGUUGAAAGAGCUGGUGUUUCUUGAUUUCUAGGAAUCCUCAUUAUGGAUUAUCAUUUGCUUUUCUUCUGUUUGUGUGUAUUUCAGUAAGAAAUAGGUUCAGCCGCCAGAGGGCAAUCCAGUUUUUAAACAGAGAGAGAAGUUCUUUGUUGUGACUUCCAGGAAUUACAGCUCUCCUGUUAAUAGGCUUUCCGCUUCUCUGUUGACAUUUCCCUUUUUAGAGAGACUGAAAGAAUUAUGGAGAACAUAUACACACAUCCUCAGCAGUGGCCUUUCUAGGGAUGUUUCUAUUUCUAAAAACCCAGCUACAGCUCUUCCCAAGCAAACUACCAGAAUAUCUAGUUUCCAAAGUUAGGCUGAGUGCUAGACUUGUGAAUCUGCUCCCACCUGCCCCCCCC